AUGAUCCUACUUCCUACAGUAGAAGCACUCUGCCUAACUUUCGGACUUGCACUUGAACUUUUGGGUCUGACUCCCAGUAUUUUGCACCUUUUUAUUCUUCUUUUCCUUUUCUUUCUUAAAAAAAUGAUGCCCACUUGAAGAAGAUCCUCUCACUACAUUCACCAUCUCCUUGUGGAGCUGGUGAUCCUUCUCAAAAAUUUGUAGCAAUCCCAAC
rnacentral:lncRNA from 1 species